CCCUCAGUUUGUUUUCUUAGUGGCUCUUUGAUGUCUUUUUCAGUGUGUCAGCUGCCGGGUGAACUCUGUGUUCCCACACACAUAAAGCCCACCGCGCUCCCCAGCCAACAUCAACACCCCCCAGAGCAGAUUUGGCAUCAUCAAAAGCCUUGCUUCUCUGAUGUUCUGGUCACCUUUCCAGUGUGCCUCUAAGUCCUGAGCUUGGCAGUUUUCCUGAUGCAGACAAGAGGUGGGACUUGCUUUAUAAGUCAUCAACCCCGAGGCCUUCACAAGAAAAACAGUGAUGUUUACCUUGGGGAAUUCUAAUUCCUCAGCUUUGGCUGUCUCCUCAGCAACUCCUGUGUUGUCAUCUGCUUCAACACAUGCACUUACAAGGAGCACUUACAAAGGGAGCUGAGUCAUUCUCUAAAUCUGGACCAUCGUCCUCUGAACAUAAAACCUUCCUCUGCAGUUCUUAAGG